UGUAAGUCCCCAUGGUCCCUAGCAUGGUGAUCUACUUUCACAUACUGGCGAUCUAUAACCUGUUUUUAUAUUGUAUUGUUCUUAAUAGUGAUAUUAUUUUA